CUUCCCUGGGUGCGAGGCCACCAUAGCACCUCCCUGCGGCGGGGGAGGGGGGGUGCAGGGAACAACGUGGGCAGCACCAGGACUGCAGGAGCAGUCCUGUGCCUGCGACUCACACUGAGCCUCCUCAUCCUGGGAGCUCCGGUCUGGCUGCCUCCAAGAUUCUGACUCACAGCUGGGGUGAAGACCCCCAGAAACAGACUCGAGGGAGGCCAGCAGAAGGCCAGUGGGAACAGAGCCGGCACAGCCACAGCCCAGGGCAGUGAGGGCGUGGGGCCCAGGACCCCUGGUCUCUGACCUCUGGCCUCCCCAAGGGUCAUGAGCUCCUUGGGAGACGACAAAGGAUGUACGUGCCAUAAGCGGCAGCAGAGUAGACACGGACUAGGACAUGAGGAGCACACACGUGGGGACCACAUGGGGAUGAUAUGGUGGGCGGCUGAACAGGAACGGAUGGAGGCUCAACUCCUGCCUGGGGACUCAGAGCCAAGGCAGGUCAGCACAGGUCAGCACCCGGGGGUUGGGGGGACCCACCUGAGACCCCAAUGGAAACAGCUGCGUGCUCGCUCGUGGGACAGCACGUGUGCAGACAGGGGGAGCACGAGAGCCACGGGCAGACAGGAGCUCCAGCAGAGACCCACUGUCCACCCCAUGGCCCCAAGGUCACGGCCUGAGCCCUGGCGCCCCCACCGAGCCCACCGCCUCCUGAUUCUGCAGCAGCCCCCCGGGUUGCAGGCGCUGCUCUGAUGGGCCGGCUUGGAUUUGGAGAGAUGCAUGUGUUCCCAAAGGAACAGGAAGUUCUCUGACUGCAAGCUUCUCAGCUCUCAGCCUCACUGCCACUCAGGCCUCAGGCCUGUACUGGGGCCGGGCUUUGUCUUGCCCACACAGGCAGGGCAUCUCCAGAGGCUGGAGGCAGGAACAGGGGAGGCCCAGACCCUUGAGCUGGGCCUGGCGUCCUCAGUGCAACCCCAUCCAGGAGCUCAGACCAGCCCAGUAGCUGCCUUAGUGAAGGCUGGGGAGGAUAGCCUGCGGACUCGUUCACACUAAUGUGUGAAUGACUGAUGGCCUUUUAAUAGGGCAUAUACAUUUGCAUUUUUAGAAUAG
rnacentral:lncRNA from 12 species